rnacentral:rRNA from 1 species
AGCUCCAAUAGCGUAUAUUAAAGUUGUUGCAGUUAAAAAGCUCGUAGUUGGAUUUCUGGUGUGAGGGAACGGUCCGACCUCUGGUGGGUACUUGCUUCCUCUCACGCCAUCCUUGAGUGGUGCGUUCUGGCAUUCAGUUGUCGGGACGUUAGCCGCUCAUCGUUUACUGUGAGAAAAUUAGAGUGUUCAAAGCAGGCUUAUGCCGUUGAAUAUAUUAGCAUGGAAUAAUAAGAUAGGACUUCGGUACUAUUUGGUUGGUUUGCGCACCGAUGUAAUGAUCAAUAGGGACAGUUGGGGGUAUUCGUAUUCAGUUGUCAGAGGUGAAAUUCUUAGAUUUACGGAAGACGAACUACUGCGAAAGCAUUUACCAAGGAUGUUUGCA